GGGCAAAAUCUUCCUCUCUAGAAAAUGGAUAUUUUUAGGGUUUUGAGCUCAAAACCCUAAAAAUGGAGGAGCAACCGCGGGGAAGAAGGGUGGGUCUGGCUGUAUUUAUAGCCCAGACUUAACCAAGUGUUGGGUAUUUUAAACGCAAACAGAAAAAUCCACAAGCGCACGGAUACCGAUGUAACUUUCACCUAGGGAGUAUUCCAGAGUAUCGAUUUUCCACAGGGAACGUGAGUGUACUAAUUAAGAAUCAAGAUCGCCCAAGGAUAACUAUAUAAUUAUUUUUGGUGGGAAGAAAGAAAGUUUCCUGAGAGUUCUCUAGUUGAUCUAAGAGUCAAGAAUUACUUCAAGAUUAUCUAUUUCGGGACAUCAGAACACUAACCACAGAAAGAGAUGAGAAGGGGGCUAGGAAGCUCCGACUACGGUCCUACAGACACUGAUCCGAACGAGGUGGAAUACGUCGACCGUUAGGGCUGUCACUACCCUAAGGCUACCACAACAAUCCGCAGGAUUGGGUGCAAUUCCAGGUAAUCGCAAGACUAAACACCACGUCUAAUCUAUUAAUUACUACUCGAGCGUUAUAAAGACUAGAGCACUUGAUGCAAGCGGGAAUCCAAUAAAUAACUUGAAUGUAAAUAAAAGUAAUUAAAGAACUCAGGAAUUAUGAAUUGAAGAACCUGGAGAACGAUGAAGAACGAACCAGUUGCUGCAAAAGUACAAUGUUGAGGAAGAUCCGACAGAUCCGGCUCCUCCUCCGCUCUCCUCUUCUCUCUCCCUAUUUUCUAGAUUACAACUAGAACUAACUAGAACUAGAACUAGAGGAACUAGAACUAGAACUAGAUGAACUAGAACUAGAUCUAGAUGAACUAGAGGUAGAACUAGAAGAACUAGAGGGAUCCUCUCUACUUGGAAGAAGAAUUGAAACCCUAGCUUUGAUUCUGUAGAAGAGGUAUGAUCUCCAGGGGCCAGGGGGUCUUGUUUUAUAGUCCCUUCAAGUGAAUCUGGGCCGUUGGAUCAAACCGACAUUGAUUGAACGGUUAUCCUUGAUCCUUUAGGUCGGUGGAGCAAUAUCCCUAAAGAGAGUCCUGAUUGGACUCUGGUUGAGGGCGGGCGCCCAGGAAAGGAGGGCGGGCGCCCUGUCCCUGAGUCCUCUCGGCCUCCGCUUCCUUCCCGUGGCUUCUGGAGUCUUCUAGAUGACACAAAAUUGCGCGGCAUGUUAAUAUCUCUACAAAAUUGCGCGGCAUGUUAAUAUCUCUAUGUAAACCUGACGUGUGAGCCUUUCUUCCGUAUUUCCUGAUAACCCCCUGCAGAAAUAGACAAACACCAAAACUCGUGGAAUUCUGUCAGAUAAAACCCUAAGUCUAGGUGUUGGUUGCAUAUAAGUCCUUUUCCAUGAUUAGUUGAUAGUUAAAAGUGAACAUUAAGGGCCGUCAACAAGCUCCCCCAAGCUUAACAUUUGCUCAUCCCUGAGCAAAGAAGGACUCAAGAGUAUCUGCAGUGGUUUUAUGCCUUAAAGGUACAUAUGCAUUCAAACAAGAUCUCAUCUUUGGGUUAGGGUAAAUUGUUAAGAUUUAAACUUACUCAUAUUACCUUCCACCAUGGGGCUUGCAACCGUCACUUGUGUCUUGAGCAGUUAAAAGAUAGAACGGUCUAGUGAAACACCAUGUUUCUUGUUCUUCGAUUGCCUAUAGCUCUAGAGUUUUUGCAGAUUUUCAAAUAAAACUCAGAGAUUCCUUGUAUGACUCUCUCUAGUCUCUCUUUUGUGGUAUUUCUGGAUCCUUACUAAGGCAGUAAUGGUGUAUGCCUUCUCUCAAAGUAUGUGGUAUUUUUGGUAUGAGGCAUAGUGGCAUUGCCUUCUCUCUCACCCUACUCUAAUAAGGCUUUUGAUAUCUGGAGCUCAUAGGUGGGAGACAGCUAAUACAUACUUACAAGACAUUUAUUGCAUAGUCAAACCAUGGAUCCAGAAGAACAAGUCAAUAAGUCAAAUCAAGAUGUGCAUGUGUGGCGAAUGAAUGGUGUAUGGUGAUGAUGGUGAUAACAAUGGUGAACGUCUAAUUCUAUUUGUGCUCUUUUGAGGGGAUACAUACCUUUCUUGCUCUUUUGAAACUUUUUGAGGAGAAUAAGAUGCUCUAUAUUUUCUUUUUCUUUUCUCUCAGGUGGGUAUCUUGUACCCCUAAUUCUACUGUCGGACACUUGUCCAUUUUUACCUUUCGUCUCACUUUUUUUCUUUUCUUUCGAGGUUUCGGGCACUUGCCCCUUUUUAUUUCCUCGUAUCUUUUUCUUUUUUUUUUCUCUUUUUUUAGAGCACUCAUCUCCUGAAAUAAUAUAGCAAGUGGUAGUAACCAAGAUAACUUGUGCAUUUAUUUCACAGGGGAAAACUGAAAUGUUUUUGGCUAUUCUCUCCCGGAUUAGGAGUAGAAUAUUUUUAAGUGAUUUUGGAGAUGGAAAUGGGUAGAUAUAUGUGGAUGCGUACUUUCCGGAGUAGAAGCAGCAUGUGUGAGUGAACGUGCAAGUGAAUCUUGACUUAACCACAUGACAAGCUCCUAAGGGUCUACACAGCUUGACCACACUCAAUGCUCAUAAGCAGUAAAGUAAAUGUGUGGCUCAAAGUUUAGCAAGCAUGUAUAUAUGGCUGUGGUAGGAAUUUAAACUCUCAUCAUACAAGAACUCAUCAUGCAAUAUUUUAAAGAUUUUCAAAAAUAAAAUUCUCCAGAAUUCUAGCAUCUCUAGGAACAGAUAAACAGCAGCUUAACCUUCCCAUAUCGUAUCCGUUAACGACUUAGACUUUAGAUCAAGUACUCUCCCCACAAGUAGCAAAUAUUAAUUAAUAACAGUCAUGCCUAAACUUGAGCGAGAUUUCAAUUUUGAGAACUAAUCACGGCAGAGCAACUAUUCAUCAUUUCCAUGUGAGAGCUUGUCAUGAGGGUUCAUAGCAAACUUUAUUUAUUUAUUUAUUUAGCAAACUAAGCAAAGAUAUAUAUAUAUAUAUAUAUAUAUAAAAGCACAAAAUCUUUAUUUGGGUUUUUAUGAUUAUGCAUCUUUUUAUUAUUUGAGUAAAAUAUAAACGCGAGUAGAAACACUUAGCUGGAUAAAUGGGAGUGCUCUCCCCCAAGCUGGAUUUUGACGUAAAUCCUUGUGAUGUAGCUAGCAGGUGGCGGAGGUGUAUUUGAAUGUCGGCAGCACCCUGACAGCGAUUAGGAUGUCCUCUGUCUACUAGUCUUCUUUGAUCCUUGAAUUCUAUGGAGCUCAAAUAGACAACAAAGCUUUGUGGAACUAGUUAAGUGUUAGCAUAAAUAUCUAACCUUUAUCAUGUUGAGCCUCCUAAAUAAAUGUUACUCUCUUAGUAGGAUCAUUAAUUUUUAUAUAUAUUUUUUUCAAGAUGAUAUGAACCUGAUUAACUAAACAAACUAUUUUAAACAAUUGAAAGGAAAAGGAUAACUACCAAGUUUACCUCUUGGCAAGGCGUUCGGUGUUUUUAAGUCCUCCGAACGGGACUCUCCAUUUUCUCAGUCGUCCUGGGAUUCGCUGGAUGGCGUAGUCGGUGGUUCCGGCGGCGCCUGCUCUUUGUUUCUAACUAUCUUCUCUUUCCACACCUAACUCAGUGCACUUUUCGUAGUCCGCCCAUCCGUCCUUGAUGAUUUUCCUCCUCUGGUUGCAGUUGCGUCGUCUUCUUCUUGUCCUGACCUGCUUGGAGUCUUCAACUAUAUAAUUAGGGUUAGUAAAAUAGCGGCGUACCUUCUUAGAGGGGAAGUGCAUGUGGACUUCUCCGGUUCCAAUGUAGAUGAUUGCUUUAACGGUACUGAGGAACGGUCUUCCAAGGAUGACGGGUUUAUCGAAUUCGUCUUCUCCCAUAUCAAUAACCUUCAACCUUUCGGAAUGUCUGAUCUGCCAUCUGGAGCUGAAUGUAUGUCGGUUUUAGGGGUAUGGUUCCGAACAGGAGCUGAUAGAUGACUGAGUCGUCCUUUUUGGUAAGGAACGGUGACUUAAAUCGACGAUCUUGACCUCCUUGAACUGCAGUGACCAUCUUAGCUUACUCGGUCUACAUUUGCUUGUUCCUGUUCCUCCUGUUGGUCCUUUCCUUGGUUCAUGUCUGGAUUGCUCUGAGAUUUGUGUAGUCUUGUUCUUGAAGGAAAAUGUCUCCUACCUCCCCUUGAUGUAGAAACUGAUCUUAGCAUCACUAGCGUGGAUGACCGCUCCCGAGGUGUUCAGGAAUGGCCUCCCCUAGGUAUAAUGUUGACGCUGGAGCCAAAGUCGCAGAGAGCUUCUGGGAAGUCCACCAAGCCGAUGGAGAUCGGGAUGACGGGGCGUCCAAGAUUGCCUCUCUGAGUAGUUAGGCCUCCGUUGAUUCCAACCUUGGUUUUGUUGAGGACGGUUGUAGUAGUAGUAGUGGUUGUUGUUGAUGUAGUUUACGUCCUCAAGCAUCUCAGGGCAGUGAUUGCCUGAGUGUCCAGUAUCUCCAGUGUGUGUACUCGUUGAUCUAGAUUCUUCACUUGGUGGAGUCUGGGAGUGGUAAAACUCCUUCAUAUUUUGCUCGAAGUGUACCUGCUCAUAAAGACAAGGCAGAGAUCAAGUGCAUGGGCCCUGUUGGUGGAAAACACCAAUAGAACCAAAAGUGUAUUUGUUCUUCUUUAACCUUAAGCAUAGUGAGCAAGACAAAGUUGAUGGAUAAUAAGAUCAUGAGUGUAAUUUUUAAAACAUUCGUUAGAUCAGAUCACUCAACCUAAUGGAAAGAUAAUCUAUCUAUACUUAUGUUUUUUUAUAUAUAUCUUCCAAAGAUUGAGUGUGCAACAUUUUAGUUCAUAUGAUUAGGAGUGUGGGAUCCCAAAGGUGGAAGGACUAAACAUAUUGAAUCGAUUGGGUUAAUUUAGAGUUGUAAAUCAUACAUGUUUGUCUCUUUUAUUCAUGUGAAUGCCAGAACCAAAGAGAAGCUUAUAGAAGUGACAGCCAAGUACCUUAAGAUGUUACCUUAAUUGAAGAGUGAUGGUAUAGUAUCACCUAGUGGAAGCUUUCCUUUCUUAGCGGUUGUGCAAUGUGUUUGUGGCACCCUCCAUGGAUCAUCUCUUAUGAGCUAUGUCUUCCUUGUGUAAAUUGUUAAACUUCAUGUGUCUCUCUCUUUGUCUCCAAUGUGGGUUUAUCUCAGGACUUCCCAGGUGGAUAUUGAAAGUUUUCCUGCAGGGGUUAGUCCAACAAAAUAUCCAAUAUCUACUAUAGCAUACUAUCGGCUCAAAGAUCAACCUAGACACCAUGUCUAAUUUGAUUCAGGAGGGCAUUUUAACCUAAGCACCAUGCUUAAUUUAAAACCCCUUGGAAGUAAGAUCAUCAUUCCUAAACUAAGCACCUAGCUUAAUUAAGAGAUAAAUGAAACUAGUCCAAACCUAGGCAUAUACUAAAGCAAAUAAAGGUAGCAUGAGAGCAUUUAUAGAGAUCUACUCAAGUGGAGAUGAAGUAGUGUGAUUAGUAUUUAACAAAUUGAGCAUGUCUCAAAGGUAGGGACAACCAACAUAGCAACAUAGCAAAGGAUGUUUUUAUGUAAAGUACUCCCCCAAGCUUGAAUUUUGCAAAAUUCAAGUUUGGAUGAAUUUAAUUCAAUCUUGUAUGAUGAUUGGUUGGACAUACCUUGUGCUUGUCAUUCAUCCGAUCUUCUUGCUCCAAUCCUGGAAAGGUUAGUGCCAAGAAUACCCGAAGGGAUAUUUUUUCAAUUGUCCUUAUAUGCUCAACACACAAGGUAAUGUUGCAAAUAAUUAAAAGCUCAUGUUAUGAUCUGAGCAGUGCUUGUUUUAGGACACUAAGCUUGUCCUUGGGAAACCAUCAAUUUAUGUCUGCGAAGUGGUUUCCCCUCCAACGCUGACCUAUAUCAAGAUCAACUCAACGAGAUCUGCAAUAUUUAAUAUAGACAUAUGCAUCGACAACCGCCCUUUUAAAGUUUUUAUGAAUAGAAAGGAAGAGGGGGUUGGAGAUCUCGAAUGUGGUGAUGUUGGAGAGACCAAUGGAUUGUGAAUAUGUUGCAUAUGAGCAUGGAGUAAAUGAAGUGGCUAUGAAAUAAAUUCCAUACUCAUUAAUGCUUAGAGUGAAAUCCAUGUGGUGUGGUGAAAAUGGUAAGAUGAGUGUGGUAAAAAAGGAAAAGAAAAAGGAUACACGGACGACUUGGUUCGAAACUAGCACAGCUACCGUUCCCCGGCAACGGCGCCAGAAAGCUUGUUGGGUAUUUUAAACGCAAACAGAAAAAUCCGCAAGCGCACGGAUACCAAUGUAGCUUUCACCCGGGAGUAUUCCAGAGUAUCGAUUUUUCCACAGGGAACGUGAGUGUACUAAUUAAGAAUCAAGAUCGCCCAAGGAUAACUAUAUAAUUAUUUUUGGUGGGAAAAGAGAAAGUUUCCUGAGAGUUCUCUAGUUGAUCUAAGAGUCAAGAAUUACUUCAGGAUUAUCUAUUUCGGGACAUCAGAACACUAACCACAGAAAGAGAUGAGAAGGGGGCUAGGAAGCUCCGACUACGGUCCUACAGACACCGAUCCGAACGAGGUGGAAUACGUCGACCGUUAGGGCUGUCACUACACUAAGGCUACCACAACAAUCCGCAUGAUUGGGUGCAAUUUCAGGUAAUCAGAAGACUAAACACCACGUCUAAUCUAUUAAUUACUACUCUAGCGUUAUAAAGACUAGAGCACUUGAUGCAAGCGGGAAUCCAAUAAAUAACUUGAAUGUAAAUAAAAUUAAUUAAAGAACUCAGGAAUUAUGAAUUGAAGAACCUGGAGAACGAUGAAGAACGAACCAGUUGCUGCAAAAGUACAAUGUUGAGGAAGAUCCGACAGAUCCGGCUCCUCCACCGCUCUCCUCUUCUCUCUCCCUAUUUUCUAGAUUACAACUAGAAAUAACUAGAACUAGAACUAGAACUAGAGGAACUAGAACUAGAACUAGAUGAACUAGAACUAGAUCUAGAUGAACUAGAGGUAGAACUAGAAGAACUAGAGGGAUCCUCUCUACUUGGAUGAAGAAUUGAAACCCUAGCUUUGAUUCUGUAGAAGAGGUAUGAUCUCCAGGGGCCAGGGGGUCUUGUUUUAUAGUCCCUUCAAGCGAAUAUGGGCCGUUGGAUCAAACCGACAUUGAUUGAACGGUUAUCCUUGAUCCUUUAGGUCGGUGGAGCAAUAUCCUGAAAGAGAGUCCUGAUUGGACUCUGGUUGAGGGCGGGCGCCCAGGAAAGGAGGGCGGGCGCCCUGUCCCUGAGUCCUCUCGACCUCCGCUUCCUUCCCGUGGCUUCUGGAGUCUUCUAGAUGAUACAAAAUUGCGCGGCACGUUAAUAUCUCUAUGUAAACCUGACGUGUGAGCCUUUCUUCUGUAUUUCUUGAUAACCUCCUGCAGAAAUAGACAAACACCAAAACUCGUGGAAUUCUAUCAGAUAAAACCCUAAGUCUAGGUGUUGGUUGCAUAUAAGUCCUUUUCCAUGAUUAGCUAAUAGUUAAAUGUGAACAUUAAGGACCGUGAACACCAAGGCGGGCAUUGUUACAAAACCGCCACGGUGAAAGCCCUAGUUUGGUUUUGGAUAAUUGAUGAAACCCUAGUAAUAACCUCUAUGCUAAGUGUGUGUAGACUUAAUGAGGUUGGUACAUGCCAAGUGAUGGAGCAAGAGAUGAUCAUGGUGAUAAUGAUGGUGACGACCACAAGAUGAUCAAGUGCUCAACUUGGAAAAGAAGAAAGAGAAAAACAAAACCCUAUGGAGAUCAAGACAACGGUAUUGUUUAGGGUCUUAGUUUUGGUGAUCAAGACACCAUAGAGGGUGUGAUCACAUUUAGGAUAGAUAGCCAUACUAUAAAGAGGGGAAUUCUUUGGCUAAGCGGUUAUCAAGUGUCACUUGGUGUCAUUGUUCAUGUGCAUGCAUUUAGAACAUAGUGAGCUAACUUAACUCCUUGAAGAAAAUGUGUUGUGAAAAUGCUAACACACUUGCACAUGUUGGUACACACAUGGUGGUGUUGGCACACUUUAAGAAGGAGGUGGAGUUUGAAUGGUAGAGAGGGGUUUGGGUUCCUCUCUCCAUCCCGCCUAGCUUGCGAGGCCGGAUUCAGCGCUUUUGUGAAAAUGAAAUGCAUAUUUUCUAUUGCAACGGAGAAAAGUUUGGAGAAGUAGUCGGAGUUCCGGACACUCUGACCGCAGGCACCAGAUGGUGAGCCGGUGUGUCCGGUGUGCUGUCAGUGUCUGGUGAAGUUAGCUGUGUGCACCGGACGCCAAGCACCGGAUGCGGAUUAGACCCUAUUCUUGCAUCCGGUGUGGCUUGGCAUCAGCAGUGAGUUUGCAGUGCUCUCUGAGUAAGGGUCUGGUGCUGACCUGGUGCGUCCGGUGGUUGCGUCCGGUGACCCCACGCGUUUGACAAACCUCUCUGUGUACAGGUCCGGUGUGAGUCCGGUGCUGACCUGGCACGUCCAGUGGUUGCAUCCGGUGACCCCACGCAUUUGACAAACCUCUCUAUGUAUGGGUCCGGUGUGUACCGAAUGCGUACGGUGCUCACUUGACCGCGUCCGGUGGUUUAAUUUUGACCAUUAGAGAUCGACGUGCGUGAUUCAAGUAGCUAACACGUGGCCGCAUUGGAGCAUCAGACGCAGGGUUUGUGCGUCCGGUGGUCAGCUGUUGUGCAUCCGGUGAUCCCAAGUUUUGCACAGUGAAAGAGCCAACGGCUCUAUUUGUUUGAGGGGCUCAUAAAUACGUGUUGGCCGGCUUGGGGCUCACUCUCUUGGCAUUCUUGACUAUUAGACAUCCUUGUGAGCCCAAGCAAACACCUUCCACUCAUCUCCUUCAUAGAUUAAACAUAUUUGUGAUACUAGGAGUGAUUCUAAGUGCAUUUGCUUGAGUGAUUGCAUCUAGUGGCACUUGAUGAUCGAUUUGGCUGUGGUUUUCUUGUUACUCUUGGUGGUUGCCGCUACCUAGAUGACUUGGAGCAGCGGAGGAGCAUUGGCAUGAGUUGGUGAUUGUUUGUGGCCAUCUCCUGGUGAUUGUGAGGGGUUUGUGCCUACCCCAGCGGAGAGCCAAAGGCAACCCUAGUGGAUUGCGUGUAUCAUUGAGCUACCUCACUUGUGGGUAGGUUCUUGUGGUGUUCUAGUGAGGAUGAGGUUUGUGCUACACCUCUUAGCCGCUGAACCACCAAGUGUUGGUCGCCACAAUGGGGACGUAGCGUGCCGACAAACAUGUGAACCUCAGGAGAAAAAUCUGUGUCUCAAUUGUGUUUGAUUGGCAUUCUCCCAGUGAUUGAUUGUUCAUAUAUUGUGAUUGGUUCAUCCCCUCUACGCGGCGGUAUAAGGAUCAAACCCUCUCUUUUACAUUCCCACAAACUAGAGUAGCUUACUUACUUGCCUAGUGAUCAUAGCAACUAGAAUUGUUGGUUAGGUGGCUUGCAAACACCCCUUUAGAGCUAGAGCAAAAAGGUUCACUUUGUUAUCUACUAACCUCUUGCUCUAGUGUAUUUGUAGAAUUUUUAAAUAGGAUAUUCACCCCCCUCUAGCCAUAUUAGGACCUUUCACACGGUUAAUGAGAUAUUAACAGCGGCGAGUGAUAUGAGGGACCGCCACGAUUAAUAUCUAUUAACCAUGGCGGUUGUAUUACAAUGACCGCCACGGUUAAUACACCAUCAACUAUGGCAGUUGGCUUACAAUGCCUGCCAUGAUUAAUGAUUAACCGUGGCGGUUGUCUUGUGGCCUGGCUGGCUUGAGCCGGCAGUGAACAACCGUGGCGGGCGAAACCAACGCCCACCUUAGAGCCCUUAUGUGAAACGCUGUGUAAAAUAAAAUUUGUAGUAGUGCUACCCUUUGCUUGUCCUCAAGCAAAAUGUGGGUUUAGAAUAAAAGAGUUGGAUUAGACAUUGCUUCAAUAAAGUAACUUUGCAAAGUCUACUAACACAGCACCAUGCUUCUUAUAGCUAAAAGUGUGGUUUUGAAGUUUUACCACAAAUCUAGUAUUAUGGGGCUUUUUAGAUUUUCACUUUGAUUAUUGUUGGGUAUUUUAAACGCAAACAGAAAAAUCUGCAAGUGCACGGAUACCGAUGUAGCUUUCACCCGAGAGUAUUCCAGAGUAUCGAUUUUCCACAGGGAACAUGAGUGUACUAAUUAAGAUUCAAGAUCGCCCAAGGAUAACUAUAUAAUUAUUUUUGGUGGGAAUAGAGGAAGUUUCCUGAGAGUUCUCUAGUUGAUCUAAGAAUCAAGAAUUACUUCAAAGAUUAUUUAUUUCGGGACACUAACCACACAAAGAGAUGAGAAGGGAGCUAGGAAGCUCUGACUACGGUCCUACAAACACCGAUCCGACCGAGGUAGAAUACAUCGACUAUUAGGGCUGUCACUACCCUAGGGCUACCACAACAAUCCGCAGGAUUGGGUGUAAUUCUAGGUAAUUGCGAGACUAAACACCACGUCUAAUCUAUUAAUUACUACUCUAGCAUUUCAAAGACUAGAGCACUUGAUGCAAGUGGGAAUCCAAUAAAUAACUUGAAUGUAAAUAAAAGUAAUUAAAGAACUCAGGAAUUAUGAAUUGAAGAACUUGGAGAACGAUGAAGAACGAACCAGUUGCUGUAAAAGUACAAUGUUGAGGAAGAUCUGACAGAUUCGGCUCCUCCUCCGCUCUCCUCUUCCCUCUCCCUAUUUUCUAGAUUAGAACUAGAACUAGAUGAACUAGAACUAGAACUAGAACUAGAUGAACUAGAGGGAUCCUCUCUACUUGGAUGAAUAAUAGAAACCUUAGCUUUGAUUGUGUAGAAAAGGUAUGCCUCCAGGGGCCAAGGGGCCUGCUUAUAUAGCCCCUCCAAAUGAAUAUGGGCCGUCGGAUCAAACUGACCUUAAUCGCACGGUUAUUCUUGAAGAUUACAGGCGGUGGAGCACGAUCCGUGAGACCUAUCCUGAUUGGUCACCAGGGCAGAGCGGGCACCCAAGGGGGGAGGGCGGGCGCCCAGCCCCCAGGCCCGCUCGGCCUCCUGUUCGUUCCCGUAGCUUCUGGAGUCUUCUAGAUGAUAGAAAAUUGGCGCACACGUUAAUAUAUCUAUGUAAACCCGACGUGUGGGCCUUUCCUCCAUGUUUCCUGAUAACCCCCUGCAAAAAUAGACAAACACCAAAACUCGUGGAAUUCUGUCAAAUGAAACCCUAAUUUUGGAUGUUGGUUGCAUAUAGGUCCUUUUCCAUGAUUAGUUGACGGUUAAAUGUGAGCAUUAAGGACCGUCAACAAGCUUCCCCAAGCUUACCUCUUACUCGUCCCUGAGCAAGGAUGGACUCAAGAGUUUCUGUAGUGGUUUCAUGCCUUAAAGGUACACAUGCAUUCAAACAAGAUCUCAUCUCUGGGUUAGGGUAAACUAUUAAGAUUUAAACUUACUCAUUUUACCUUCCACCAUGGGGCUUGCAACCGUCACUUGUGUCUUGAGCCGUUAAAAGAUAGAACGGUCUAGUCAAGCGCCAUGUCUCUUGUUCUUCGAUUAACUAUAGCUCUGGAGUUUUUGCAGAUUUUUAAAUAAAACUCUGAGAUUCCUUACAUGACUCUCUCUAGUCUCUCUUUUAUGGUAUUUCUGGAUCCUUACCAAGGCAGUAAUGGUGUAUGCCUUCUCUCAAAGUAUGUGGUAUUUUUGGUAUGAGGCAUAGUGGCAUUGCCUUCUCUCUCACCCUAGUCUAUUAAGGUUUUGAUAUCUGGAGCUCAUAGGUGGGAGACAACUAAUACAUACUUACAAGACAUUUAUUGCAUAGUCAAACCAUGGAUCCAGAAGAACAAGUCAAUAAGUCAAAUCAAGAUGUGCAUGUGUGACGAAUGAAUAGUGAUAAUGGUGAAAAUAAUGGUGAAAGUCUAAUUCUACUUUUGCUCUUUUGAGGGGGUACAUACCUUCCUUGCACUUGAGGCUUUUGAGGGGAAUGAGAUGCUCUAUAUUUUAUUUUUCUUUUCUCUCAGGUGGGUACCCUAAUUCUACUGUCGGACACUUGUCCAUUUUUACCUCUCAUCUCACUUUUUCUUUUUUCGAGGUUUCGGGCACUUGCCCCUUUUUAUUUCCUCGUAUUCACUUUUUUUCAGAGCACUCACCCUCCUGGAAUAAUGUAGCAAGUGGUAGUAAACAAAAUAUCUUGAGCAUUUAUUUCACAGGGAAUAACAGGGAUAGGAUAAUGUUUUUGGCUAUUCUCUCCUAGAUAGGAGUAGAAUAAUUUUGGGUGAAUCUGGAUAUAGAAAUGAGUGGAUGUAUGUGGAUGCGUACUUCCGGAGUAGAAGCAGCAUGCAUGAGUGAACGUGCAAGUGAAUCUUGAUUUUAACCGCAUGACAAGCUCCUAAGGGUCGACACAGCUUGACCACACUCAACGCUCAUAAGCAGUAAAAAGUAAAUGUAUGGUUCAUAGUCUAAUAAGCAUGUAUAUACGGCUGUGGUAGGAUUUUAAACUCUCAUCAUACAAGAACUCAUCAUGCAACAUUUUAAAGAUUUUCAAAGAUAAAAUUCUCCAGAAUUCUAGCAUCUCUAGGAACAGAUAAACAACAGCUCAACCUUCCCAUAUCGUAUCCGUUAACGACUUAGACUUUAGAUCAAAUACUCUUCCCACAAGUUCAGGUUUAGAGCAAAUCUUAAUUAAUAACAGUCAUGCCUAAACUUGAGAGAUUUCAAUUUUGAGAACUAGUCAUGGCAGAGCAAUUAUUCGUCAUUUCCAUGUGAGAGCUUAUCAUAAGGGUUCAUAGCAAACUUUAUUUAUUUAUUUAUUUAGCAAACUAAGCAAAGAUAUAUAUAUAUAAGCACAAAAUAUUUAUUUGGGUUUUUAUGAUUAUGCAUCUUUUUAUUAUUUGAGUAAAGUAUAAACGUGAGUAGAACACUUAGCUGGAUAAAUGGGGGUGCUCUCCCCCAAGUUGGAUUUUGACAUAAUUUCUUCUGAUGCAGCUAGCAAGUGGUGGAGGUGUAUUUGAAUGUCGGCAGCACCCUGACAGCGAUUAGGAUGUCCUCCGUCUGGUAGUCUUCUUUGAUCCUUGAAUUCUGUGGAGCUCAAAUAGACAACAAAGCUUUGUGGAACUGGUUAAGUGUUAGCAUAAAAUCUCUUAGCCGUUAUCAUGUUGAACUUCCUCUAAUAAAUAUUACUCUCUUUAGUAGGAUCAUAAAUUUAUUUUUAUAUUUUCAUUUUUAUAUGACAGGAAUAUAUUUAUUUUAUUUUUACGCCACCACAGUGAAUGUACUUAUGGGUUUUAUGCCAUGAGCAUACUCACAUGAGGCUUACUUUUUUUUAACAGUUUUAUUUUCUUUUCAAGAUAGCAUGAUUAACUAACAAGCCAUUUAAUGAAAGUAAAUAAUUUAAGGGAAAAGGGAAUGCAGAAAGGAUAAAUAUGGAUAACUACCAAUUUUACCUUUCAGCGAGGGUUCAAUGUUUUAAGUCUUCUGAACAAGACUUCUCACCGUGUUCAUUCUUUAGGUGCGUCAUUUGAUUCAGACGUGGACCUUGACGUCUGCACCUCUUGAUACGGUGUCACCCAUGUUCUUUGUUUGCCCAGUAGUUUGAAGUGCGGCGUUGGCAGCAUCCUGCUUAGUUUGUUUGUGCUCGUAGAUCCAGGUCCUUCACUUGGUGGAGUCUAGGAGUUGUAAAACUCCUCCAUGUUUUGCUCGAAGUGUACCUGCUCAUAGAGACAAGGCAGAGAUCAAGUGCAUGGGCCCUGUUGGUGGAAAACACCAACAGAACCAAAAGUGUAUUUGUUCUUCUCUAACCUUAAGCAUAGUGAGCCAGACGAAGUUGAUGGAUAAUAAAAUCAUGAGUGUAGCAUUUAAAACAUUUGUCAGAUCAGAUCGCUCAACCUAAUGGAAAGAUAAUCUAUCUAUACUUAUGUUUAUAUAUAUAUAUAUGUAUAUAUAUAUCUUCCAAAGAUUGCGUGUGCAACAUUUUAGCUCAUAUGAUUAGGAGUGUGGGAUCACAACGGUGGAAGGUCUAAACAUAUUGAAUCGAUUGGGUUGGUUAAUCUAGAGUUGUAAAUCAUACUUGUUUGUCAAUUUUAUUCAUGUGAACGCAAGAACCAAGGAGAAGCUUAUAAAAGUGAUAGUCAAGUACCUUAAGAUGUUACCUUACUUGAAGACUGAUGGUACAGUAUCACCUUGUGGAAGCUUUCCUUUCUUAGCGGUUGUGCAACGUGUUUGUGGCACCCUCCAU
rnacentral:lncRNA from 1 species